rnacentral:misc_RNA from 1 species
UACGAAGGGGGCUAGCGUUGUUCGGAAUUACUGGGCGUAAAGCGCGCGCAGGCGGCUUUGUCAGUCAGAGGUGAAAUCCCGGGGCUCAACCCCGGCAUGGCCUUUGAUACUGCGGAGCUAGAGGUCGAGAGAGGGUGGCGGAAUAUCCAGUGUAGAGGUGAAAUUCGUAGAUAUUGGAUGGAACACCAGUGGCGAAGGCGGCCACCUGGCUCGAUACUGACGCUGAGGCGCGAAAGCGUGGGGAGCAAACAGG